rnacentral:RNase_P_RNA from 1 species
GGUGCGGGUCGGGUGGUUGCCCUCUGCUUUUGAAGCAGAGGGAGGAAAGUCCAAACUCCUUAGGGCGUUAAGUCCUGAGCAAUCAGGAACUCCAGUGGCCACAUCCGCUGGAGAUGGAAAGUGCCACAGAAAACAUACCGCCCCGACUUUUGAGUCGGGGUAAGGGUGAAAAGGUGGGGUAAGAGCCCACCGUCCCGAUAGCGAUAUCGGGAGCAGGGUAAACCCCUUAUGGAGCAAGACCAAAUAGGAGAGGACCCCUGUUGAAAAACGGGGCUGAGGUUGCCCGCCUCAGCUUCGCCUUUGAUGGCGAAGGACUCUCGGGUAGGUCGCAGAAGAGAAAUAACCACCUCUCCCACUUUUGCGUGGGAUAGACAGAAUUUGGCUUAUAGACCCGCACCAGGU